AGUGAACGCUGGCGGUAGGCCUAACACAUGCAAGUCGAACGGCAGCACAGUAAGAGCUUGCUCUUACGGGUGGCGAGUGGCGGACGUGUGAGGAAUACAUCGGAAUCUACUUUUUCGUGGGGGAUAACGUAGGGAAACUUACGCUAAUACCGCAUACGACCUACGGGUGAAAGCACGGGAUCUUCGGACCUUGCGCGAUUGAAUGACCCGAUGUCGGAUUAGCUAGUUGGCGGGGUAAAGGCCCACCAAGGCGACGAUCCGUAGCUGGUCUGAGAGGAUGAUCAGCCCCACUGGAACUGAGACACGGUCCAGACUCCUACGGGAGGCAGCAGUGGGGAAUAUUGGACAAUGGGCGCAAGCCUGAUCCAGCCAGACCGCGUGGGUGAAGAAGGCCUUCGAGUUGUGAAGCCGUUUUGUUGGGGAAGAAAAGCAGCAGGUUAAAACCCCGCUGUUCUGACGGUACCCAAAGAAUAAGCACCGGCUAACUUCGUG
rnacentral:rRNA from 1 species